GUCUCCAUAGUUGGAAUGCGCUUGGAAUCCUAACCAAGUUCUCUUGCUUACGCCUGUAUUCUUAAUCCUCUGCAUUUAACAAACACUGUGCAGGCAGAGUCCCCUCAGAGAUAUUGACAAACAUCACCAUGGGACAGAUGAACUGAUGGAAACAGGCAACAACAUUGGUUUCAUUGCACUGUCCUGUUCAAGGAAGUAAUUACCGGCUCUUUGGACACAAAUCUUGGACACAAACACUGCCUA
rnacentral:lncRNA from 1 species